rfam:Lactobacillus pontis DSM 8475 NODE_165, whole genome shotgun sequence.
AUAAAUCGAAGAGGUGCAGCCAACACCAGUAGUCGACCGGAACGAUGCCAAGUAUUGAUGGUCGGUGAACAGGGCGGCUGCCGAAGCGCUCAGCCAGGCACGGCUGGGUUGGCUGGGGCGUGGUCGAAUAGGUCACGGACUGUCGCAGGACGGAUAGGAGCCUGCGUUGCGCUAUCGACAGAU